ensembl:lncRNA
GCUCUUAUUGAGAUCACCUGUCACGAACCCCUUUAUUAAAGGUGGACACAAUGGGUUUGGUUUACUUUGCAUCGGCCUGUGGCAGUCGAGGUUGAGUUUAGGGAGUGUUGAAAUUUUUCGAUCUAGAUUGCAGAUCACUAUUGUCACUUUAUACAAACUGGAAGCAUGCGUUGUUGCGUCUUUGUUUUUGUGGGCAUUUGACUGAGCAGCCCAGACCAAUAUUGCUACCAGCAUGGCACUUCGAAACAGACCACCGCAGUGUUAGAUGACUGACUGACAAGAUCUAUGGGGGGGCCCCCUUUGGGCCCCCCCAUACCAACUUAGUCUUCAACUGACAAGAUCUAUGGGGGGGCCCCCUUUGGGCCCCCCCAUAUCAACUUAGUCUUCAAAGGAAUCUAGUGCCAUGGGACUCCAGUGUCUUCAAAACAUCCUCGGAAUACAUGUGUAUGAAUGGUCCACCGAAGGGUUGAUCUGGAAGCCACCACGGUCCACGCAGUAAUCUGCUGCGUGGGCCGUAGUGGCUUCCAGAGCCAUCUUUCGGUCUUGGUCAGGAUUUGUUACAGUUGCCCUUCAAUGUAGCAGGCUACGGGUUUCUGAAGAAGCCUGCUUUACGUAGCAUUGGAGUACAAAUAUUGUGCAAAAUGCUCAUGUAAUUGCACUAGCACUAGUAACCUGUAGAUUAGCUUAGUUUAACGUCAUUCCGUGCUGUCUCUGUCAAAUGUGUGGCUUACUUUAAGUCCACAAGGCCCUCUGGUAAACCAUGUUGGAACACCCCUGGACAAGGUGAUUAGUCACUUGGUGUGUGCUAAAGUUUUCUUCCAUUUUUUCACUAGUUGGUUAAGGUUUGGUAGAAUUGUUUGGAUGCUAGCGACGUGAUGGCGUAUGUACAAGAGCCUACCGUGGCCAGGCCACAGUUGCGACGGUCACGGCCAGAUGGCCUAGGCCUAAAAAAUGUUUUUGUUUGGUUCCGGUUUCCGACCGACCCUGUCAAUUUAUGUGCGACCCAAAUUAUUUUAUGAGCUUUAUAAAAAAAAUAUAUAUAUUUUUUGUUUGGUUCCGGUUUCCGACCGACCCUGUCAAAUUAUGUGCAACCCAAAUUAUUUUAUGAGCUUUAUAAAAAAAUAUUUUAUUUUUUUUUUGAUGCAAACUAUAAUUACGUUUUGGUACCGCACCUCUUCAUUCUGUACAAGGAUGAGCGUAUUUUCUCGUUUUUAAAUGAAAACAACCUACCUAUCAUUCGCUGCCGCUGGAAAAAAUAAAAUAAAAUAAAUUCCCUACCUACCCAUGACCUCAACUGACAACCAACAGGAACCAAACUUUUUUUAGGCCCUAGUGUGAGUGCAACCUUGAUUGCAUUUGUAUACUGUUUACCAUUGGAUGUUUAUGCAAUUUGGCUUAAUUCAUCCGCAGUAAAGCUGCAUUUGACUAUUCCAGGGUUGUUUUGUACAGUCUUUCAAUUUACCAUGUUGACUAGUUUGUGGGAAGUUAUUUUUUUUUUUAUUCUUGCUUACAAUCCAACGGUUGUGACCACUUAUGCAACUGGGCUGUGAACCUUGCAAUUCUAGUUGCAUAUUUAUACACGCAAGCUUGUCCAUUUCUAUCGCCAUCACUAACACUAGCUUCAGCAUUUCCUUGUAGGCCAUUAGCUGACUUGUGUAUUGGAGGGAUGAUUUGGGUAUUUUAAGAUGCUUAAACCUAAAAUAAAGCAAAAUGCGUGUCUGGUGUGCAAGAGCCAAUUUGUUGGCUUGCAGUAGUUGAGGAGUUGCCGUAGGUCGUAAGCCAUCUGGAGGUUGUGGCAAUGGAGGCUUGUGGUAGAUCUGCCAUCCAAGAAAGGUUAAUUCUUCUGAAGCAUGAUUAAUAGUUUAGUAAAUUGAAUCUAUUCAUAUAGAACUAUAAAAUCCAAGACUGCAGCCAGUAACUUGGAUCGCAAUAUGUGGAAAGUAUUAGUCUUCAUUUGUAACAGAAUAAUUAACAUGACUAACUGGGUUUCUUCCAUUUUCUAACUAGGGGGAGUUGACUGGUGAGUCUACUGGAUUAAUCAGUAGCGGUACUUUGCCCAACAGAUUUGAUGGCAUGACUACAGGGUGACAAAGACAAUUAUUCUCUGCCUAUCAAAAGAGACUUCUAAAACAUAUCUGCUAGAACAGUUCCUAUACUUUUUGUAUAAUUUGGUCAUGCUGCAAAUUUACUUUUUGUAGUUGCUCCAUAUUUAGUUCUUUGACAGCCUCACCUGCUAGAAAAGUCUAUUCAAAUCGGCUAAAUAUAAAUUAAUAGCCAUGAAAUGUUGUCACUCAUACUAAUGGCAAAUACCCUCUUUCAGUUGGUGGUUCAACACUGAUGUCUCUCUAGGCUUGAGGGAGAGCUCACAAGUAAAUUACACAAAUGUCCUGGAGGAAUUGGGAAUACACUUUUAUUUAGUCUACCUGACCAGGGACAUCUUUGAACUAUAGGUCACCUAACCCAAACUUUUCACUCUUGUUAGGUUGUCCUUUUCUCUUGUUUUAACCCGAAAGGGCUGAAAUAUCAACAUUUCAGGUAUUCUGUUUGGAUAAUGUGCAAAACUUGUAGCUUCUCUAAUAAAAAAAAUUAACGAAUAUUUUUCUUAAUGUGGUUAAACUAUUUAAAGAUUUGUAUGCAAAAUAUUUCUGCUCAAUGAAACUGACAUUUUUAAUUUGAUAAAACACAACUAUGGGUUAAUGGUAUUUGCUUUGGGCAUCUUUUGAUAUUUUUAGAAUCUAGCUCCAUUGCCGUUAGAAAUGGUGUCUCCCAGUACUGCAAAGUGCUUCCACAAGUUUAAAAAAUGGGCAGAAAAGGAACUGCCAACUAAAUCUAUUUAACAUGGGUAGAAAGUUUCCAUGGAAGCUCUUGGCUGCUGGUUCCCAACACAGCUCCACUGUUAGCCUGUGACCUUGUGUUGAACUUUUUUCGACUUUUGGUGACUUUCACAAAAGAGAAAUGAACAAUGUUAAUACAAGACCCCCUUUGAUAAAAGGGGUUCUCAAAUGUUGACCCUCAGUCACCUAUUGCAGCACUUCCUUUAGGGCUUCGGCCUCCUAAUUGAUCAUUAUAGUAUAAUUG